rnacentral:rRNA from 1 species
AAGCUCGUAGUUGAAUUUCGGGGUUAGUAGGUUGGUCAUGCCUCUGGUAUGUACUGGUCUCACUGAUUCCUCCUUCCUUAUGAACCGUAAUGCCAUUAAUUUGGUGUUGCGGGGAAUUUGGACUGUUACUUUGAAAAAAUUAGAGUUGUUUAAAGCAAGCUAACGCUUGAAUACAUUAGCAUGGAAUAAUGAAAUAGGACGUUCAAUCUUAUUUUGUUGGUUUCUAGGAUUGACGUAAUGAUUAAUAGGGAUAGUUGGG